AUUGAACGCUGGCGGCAGGCCUAACACAUGCAAGUCGAGCGGGGUUUUCGGACCUAGCGGCGGACGGGUGAGUAAUGCGUAGGAAGCUGCCCGAUAGAGGGGGAUACCAGUUGGAAACGACUGUUAAUACCGCAUAAUGUCUACGGACCAAAGUGUGGGACCUUCGGGCCACAUGCUAUCGGAUGCGCCUACGUGGGAUUAGCUAGUUGGUGAGGUAAUGGCUCACCAAGGCGACGGUCUCUAGCUGGUUUGAGAGGAUGAUCAGCCACACUGGAACUGAGACACGGUCCAGACUCCUACGGGAGGCAGCAGUGGGGAAUAUUGGACAAUGGGCACAAGCCUGAUCCAGCCAUGCCGCGUGUGUGAAGAAGGCCUUCGGGUUGUAAAGCACUUUCAGCGAGGAGGAAGGGGUGUGUGUUAAUAGUACACACCUUUGACGUUACUCGCAGAAGAAGCACCGGCUAACUCUGUGCCAGCCGCCGCCGUAAAAC
rnacentral:rRNA from 1 species